rfam:Eutrema salsugineum unplaced genomic scaffold scaffold_2, whole genome shotgun sequence.
AAGGCAACUUUUUGCCGAGUGAAUCGAACAUCGAUCUCUCUCUUUUUCCCAGUUGCCAAAAUCAUGUAAUGGCCGCUUGAGGUAUAACUUGAUCGGUUGUAAAAUUUCCAAUACAACCGAUCGUUUAGCCUUUGCUGCUACAUUA